AUUGAUCGACCCCCAAUCCUGAGGUAGAACGCGAGACCAGCUGCGCCACAACAUGGAUAGCACCACUACCGGAGGAGACUAGAGUUCUGCUACCAAGAAGCUCCUAGGGGUUCUGGCCAGACAAAAUGGCGGAAUAAACAAGUAAAGAAGACACAAUCCUUCCGGCAUAUCAAUAUAUGUGUAUUCAGAACGAGCAAAACUUUAUUUAACCAUUGCCUGUCAUCGCUUCCGUAUUUAAUAAAUUUAUUCAAAAUA